GUCCUACGGGGGGCAGCAGUGGGGAAUAUUGCACAAUGGGGGAAACCCUGAUGCAGCGAUGUCGCGUGGAGGAAGAAGGUUUUCGGAUUGUAAACUCCUUUUAUCAGGGACGAUAAUGACGGUACCUGAAGAAAAAGCUCCGGCUAACUACGUGCCAGCAGCCGCGGUAAUACGUAGGGAGCGAGCGUUGUCCGGAAUUACUGGGUGUAAAGGGCGUGUAGGCGGGAGAGCAAGUCAGACGUGAAAUUCCAGGGCUCAACCCUGGAACUGCGUUUGAAACUGUUCUUCUUGAGUGAUGGAGAGGG
rnacentral:rRNA from 1 species